ACGAACCUGUCUCGGCUUACACAUGCAAGUCGAGCGGGCGUAGCAAUACGUCAGCGGCAGACGGGUGAGUAACGCGUGGGAACGUACCUUUUGGUUCGGAACAACACAGGGAAACUUGUGCUAAUACCGGAUAAGCCCUUACGGGGAAAGAUUUAUCGCCGAAAGAUCGGCCCGCGUCUGAUUAGCUAGUUGGUAGGGUAAUGGCCUACCAAGGCGACGAUCAGUAGCUGGUCUGAGAGGAUGAUCAGCCACAUUGGGACUGAGACACGGCCCAAACUCCUACGGGAGGCAGCAGUGGGGAAUAUUGGACAAUGGGGGCAACCCUGAUCCAGCCAUGCCGCGUGAGUGAUGAAGGCCCUAGGGUUGUAAAGCUCUUUUGUGCGGGAAGAUAAUGACGGUACCGCAAGAAUAAGCCCCGGCUAACUUCGUGCCAGCAGCCGCGGUAAUACGAAGGGGGCUAGCGUUGCUCGGAAUCACUGGGCGUAAAGGGUGCGUAGGCGGGUUUUUAAGUCAGGGGUGAAAUCCUGGAGCUCAACUCCAGAACUGCCUUUGAUACUGAAGAUCUUGAGUUCGGGAGAGGUGAG
rnacentral:rRNA from 1 species